rnacentral:lncRNA from 1 species
UUGGUGUUUCAAAACAUCAUGCUAUUUACUACGCCUCCUAAAGGGUCCCUAGUUCCUUGAAUUUUUUCUACGAAAAUCAAAAUACUUGUCAUGUACCUAAGAAUAUCCUAAAAACCUAAAAUCGGUGUUGAAAAUCCUUUUUGGCCUAUUUUAAGGUUCUGGCACGGUAGCGCCACCGUGCUCCGGCACUAGCUCCACUGCCCACGGUGGCAGUUCACCUCGGCCUGACCAGUUUUAAUUUCUCCUUCGGCUAACCUGCACAGAAAAAGAUGAUGAACACAAUGGUCAGAAAAUUAUGU